rnacentral:tRNA from 1 species
CGGGGUAUGGCGCAGUUGGCUAGCGCGUACGGUUUGGGACCGUAAGGUCGCAGGUUCGAGUCCUGCUACCCCGACCA